rnacentral:rRNA from 1 species
AACGAACGCUGGCGGCAUGCCUAACACAUGCAAGUCGAACGAAGGCUUCGGCCUUAGUGGCGCACGGGUGCGUAACGCGUGGGAAUCUGCCCCUUGCUUCGGAAUAACAGUUAGAAAUGACUGCUAAUACCGGAUGAUGUCGUAAGACCAAAGAUUUAUCGGCAAGGGAUGAGCCCGCGUAGGAUUAGGUAGUUGGUGGGGUAAAGGCCUACCAAGCCGACGAUCCUUAGCUGGUCUGAGAGGAUGAUCAGCCACACUGGGACUGAGACACGGCCCAGACUCCUACGGGAGGCAGCAGUGGGGAAUAUUGGACAAUGGGGGAAACCCUGAUCCAGCAAUGCCGCGUGAGUGAUGAAGGCCUUAGGGUUGUAAAGCUCUUUUACCCGGGAUGAUAAUGACAGUACCGGGAGAAUAAGCUCCGGCUAACUCCGUGCCAGCCGCCGCAGUAAUAC